rnacentral:lncRNA from 1 species
UAGCACAAAGUUUUAUUUCACCCUGCCCCAUGCUUUUUACAGUUUUAUACACAUUUUACAACUAGAAACCCAGGGGUCCAAUUUAACCGUGCGACAAACCCAUUUUGUUUCAUACUCGGGAUCAUUAUAGCCCUUAGUAAAACAUAUGUACAUGAAUUGCAACAAACUUAUAGCAGGACAAAGAAAAUGAAGAGCUAACCCUCUCUCUCUCACGUAUGGACAUGUAGGAUUUUGAACAUCGUCUCCUGCAUCCAUCAAGGAUGGAGCAGUGCCCUGAGAAGCGAGUACCAGCGCAGUCUACACCUCAUCCAAAUGCACCGACACCAACGGAGGCCUGCCAUUACCUCCCACAGACUGAGAAAUAAGCCCUCUCUGCAAAGUAUAUACUGAGUAAUCCUUUAAAUAGCAUUUCUUCACACUUGCAUAUGCAGUGAAAAUGAGGUAUAAGUUAGUUGCUUUCAGAAGGAAUAUUCUAAACCAAUAAAUUUAAACAGAAGCAGACAUUAGUAUUCCAACUCCUUUCAUUUUGCAUGUUACUUUUUGCAUUCUCAGUAGUAGCAAUGACCUUAAGGUGGCCAAACAGACAUUAAUCUUGAUGUUUCUUCAAAACAAGCAUACAAAAUUUAUACCAAGGAUGACUCAACCAGAGUAUUUUACAAGUCUAUGUUACCACUUUGUUCUCUAAGGCUUUGAUGAUUAAGACACCGUAGGCUAUCUGAUUCUCACGUGUAAGUAAAGGUUGCAUUGAAUGAGAGUAAGAAUCAAAAAAAUAGUCAAUACAGCUAUUUACAUCUACUUCUGUAAAAUUUAAAAAUCUAGUACUCUGACAAACGCUUUUGUAUCUAAACCAGUUAAUGCUGACUGCAUGUUAAAGUCUCCCAUUUACCUAAGCUCUUCUGGAAAACCCAAGAUAGUGACAACUGCACCGGUGUCAGCCCUAAAGGAGUAUCUACUCACACCUUACACAGGAAAUGUUACCUUCAAAAGCACUGGCAGCAAUAGAUCAAAUUCCUUUGAACUUUUAAGUGCUCUAUUUGUCUAUCAAGACUGUAAUAAAAUGGUCAAACUCAGCAAUUUAUUGAUUCACUGCAGUAAUAAAAGUUGAAUAGGAUUUCUAAUCUUUGAGCAUCAUAUAAAGUUGGUUUUGUUUUUUAAGAAAAGUCUGAACAUCUCAUAUUUGCACAUCAUAAUUCUAACACCCAGCAAAUCAGUAAGUUCCAACAAGUGAUUUUAUAUGGAGUGGGGUUUGGGUUUUUUUUGGGGGGAGUGGGAGUUGAAACUUAAAGCAACCAACUGUGCUUCAAAUAGGCAAAGUCUUAAAUUCUGAGUUUUUAGAAGAAAAACGGUUCCACUGUGGUUUCCAGAACUGAAACAAAGGCAAUAAAAGGGCAGCUCUUUCCUACCUCCCCAUGAAAAGAAGAGAAAAACAGUUUCUAUGACACAUGGGGAAUUU